UUCCGGUUGAUCCUGCCGGACCCGACUGCUAUCAGAGUGGGACUAAGCCAUGCGAGUUAACGUAGCAAUACGUGGCAUACGGCUCAGUAACACGUAGUCAACAUGCCCAGAGGACGUGGACAACCUCGGGAAACUGAGGAUAAACCGCGAUAGCUCAUGAUUCCUGGAAUGGUUCAUGGCCGAAAUCUAUAUGGCCUUUGGAUUGGACUGCGGCCGAUCAGGCUGUUGGUGAGGUAAUGGCCCACCAAACCUGUUACCGGUACGGGCUCUGAGAGGAGGAGCCCGGAGAUGGGCACUGAGACAAGGGCCCAGGCCCUAUGGGGCGCAGCAGGCGCGAAAUCUCUGCAAUAGGCGAAAGCCUGACAGGGUUACUCUGAGUGAUUUCCGUUAAGGAGAUCUUUUGGCACCUCUAAAAAUGGUGCAGAAUAAGGGGUGGGCAAGUCUGGUGUCAGCCGCCGCGGUAAUACCAGCACCCCGAGUGGUCGGGACGUUUAUUGGGCCUAAAGCAUCCGUAGCCGGUUCUACAAGUCUUCCGUUAAAUCCACCUGCUUAACAGAUGGGCUGCGGAAGAUACUAUAGAGCUAGGAGGCGGGAGAGGCAAGCGGUACUCGAUGGGUAGGGGUAAAAUCCGUUGAUCCAUUGAAGACCACCAGUGGCGAAGGCGGCUUGCCAGAACGCGCUCGACGGUGAGGGAUGAAAGCUGGGGGAGCAACCGGAUUAGAUACCCGGGUAGUCCCAG
rnacentral:rRNA from 1 species